ensembl:lncRNA
UCGGGUGAGGGCCUUCAGCUCGCACUGGAACGGUUCGCAGCCGAGUGUGAAGCAGCGGGAAUGAGGAUCAGCACCUCCAAAUCUGAGGCCAUGGUUCUCAGCCGGAAAAGGGUGGAGUGCCCACUCCGGGUCGGGGAUGAGUUCCUGCCCCAAGUGGAGGAGUUCAAGUAUCUCGGGGUCUUGUUCGCGAGUGAUGGGAGAAGGGAGCCGGAGAUCGACAGACGGAUUGGGGCUGCAGCCGCAGUAAUGCGGACGCUGCACCGGUCCGUCGUGGUGAAGAGGGAGCUGAGUGUAAAAGCGAAGCUCUCAAUUUACCGGUCGAUCUACGUCCCUACCCUCACCUAUGGCCACGAGCUGUGGGUAGUGACCGAAAGAACGAGAUCGCGGAUACAAGCGGCAGAAAUGAGCUUCCUCCGAAGGGUGGCUGGCCUCUCCCUUAGAGAUAGGGUGAGAAGUUCGGCCAUCCGGGAGGGGCUCAGAGUAGAGCAGCUGCUGCUCCACAUCGAAAGGAGCCAGCUGAGGUGGUUCGGGCAUCUGACAAGGAUGCCCCCUGGGCGCCUCCUGGGUGAGGUGUUCCAGGCAUGUCCCACCGGGAGGAGGCCCCGGGGCAGACCCAGGACAUGCUGGAGAGAUUAUAUCUCUCGGCUGGCCUGGGAACGCCUUGGUAUUCCCCCGGACAAGCUGGAGGAGGUGGCUGGGGAGAGGGAGGUCUGGGCCUCCUUGCUUAGGCUGCCGCCCCCGCGACCCGGCCCCGGACAAAGCGGAUGAAGAUGGAUGGAUGGAUAAUAAUAAUAAUAAUAAUAAUAAUAAUAACAAAGGUCAAUCAAGUUACCAUAAUGAUCCACUUGGUAAAAUUAAUUCAUUGGGCAUCUUUCUUGGCCUUCAGACAAUAAUUCUGAUUGCUAAAGUACCAAACGGGACAGGCAGAAUAAAAGAAAAGAAAAGAAAAGAAAAGAAAAGAAAAGAAAAGAAAAGAAAAGAAAAGAAAAGAAAAGAAAAGAAAAGAAAAGAAAAGAAAAGAAAAGAAAAUAAAAUAAAAUAAAAUAAAAUAAAAUAAAAUAAAAUAAAUCAUCAUUUUAGGGGCAGCCUGCUCGUCCCUUGUGAGUACACAGCAUCUGUGUUAGUCUUUCAUUUCAGGCUUGUCCUCUUCACCCCAAGUCAGCAUCCUGUCCCAGGAUAGACACGGGCCACGUACCCGUCCUCUUUCUUUUAAAGUCCAUCGCCAUCUCUUUUUUUUUUAAAGUUUUAUUCACAUUAAGAAGCACACGAUUCCUUUCAGACAACUCCAUAAAUCAUCCACUAGUGCUCUACACUCCUCCUCUGCCCAUCAUUAAUAUGUUCAACCACUACAGAAUUAUCAGAGUACUUCUGUAAGUAGGAUGACCUGGAUUUGUACUGAAAGUCUGAGGUGUACAAGGUGAACGGAAAUAGAGACAACACAGUCCCUUGUGGAUCUUCUGUACAGCACACCAACAAAAAUCAGACAGAGCUCCACAUUCUUCCGCCUGUUUUGUCAGGUAUUCAUCCUAUUUUAAUUUAAGAAUGCGCUGAGUAAAUAAACCAAUUAAAAACACACUGGCACAAUUAAAUGUUGUUUUUGAUUAUAUCCAAGGCUUAUUAGACUCUGGUCUGGUUCCACCAAAUCAUGAGAAAAAUAUCUGAAGUAUAGUAACGGCUAAAUCGGUCAGCUGUUGUCAUUUUAUUUGCUCGUUGUUUGGUGCUGGUGAACAGCUGUUAGCUACAGGUGGAAAAAAUUGACCUCACCAAUGAGUUGGGUAAAAGAAAAGUAUUUGAAUUUCAUUACUAAUGGAAACCCAUUUCACACCCCAUGAAGUAAUCUGAGAGACUUACUAUUCAUUGAUUAGUGCAGUUUUCUG